rnacentral:rRNA from 1 species
UUUAAGGUCUAAUCUGCCCUAUGAGGAAUUGAAUGGCCGCGGUACUUUGACCGUGCAAAGGUAGCAUAAUAAUUAGUUUUUUAAUUGAAAGCUGGAAUGAAUGAUUGGACGAGAAAAUAACUGUCUCUAUUUAAUUUUAGUAGAAUUUUAUUUUUAAGUAAAAAAGCUUAAAUUUAAUUAAAAGACGAGAAGACCCUAUAGAGUUUUAUAUUUAAUUUAAUGUUAAUUUGUUAGUAUAUUUUUAUUAGUAUUAUAUUAAAUAUUUUAUUGGGGCGAUAGAAAAAUAUUAGUAACUUUUUUUUUUUUU